rnacentral:piRNA from 1 species
UGAGAAAAUACUGUUGCUUUACCCCCUC